AGAAGAGGACACGUCAUCGCUUCAACUCGCCUCCUCCCUCCGUCUCGUCUCUUCCCAUAAAUGCAGAGAGCGAGCUUUCCGCAGCCUGUCAAUGCCGCAUUAAUUUCUUAAGCUUGUUUGCUUUGCUUUGCUUUGCUUCGCUUCUCGGAAAGGAAGCCUUCGCCAAAUCUUCUUACUGAUUCGAGGGUUUGGAGGAGGAGGCGAGGCGAGACGAGAGAGAGAAAACGGAAGCAUGCGAGGGAGACCGCUUUAGGGAAUAGGGGGGGGUAUGGGAUUUUGGCGAUGUCGGACGAGAAGCCGCCGGUAGAGAUCUGCAAGGGCGUGAAUGACCUCGACAAGGUGGUGCUUAGGGGCCUCCGCGGGAGCUCGGCAGAGGUGUAUUUAUAUGGGGGUCAUGUAACAUCUUGGAAAAAUAACCAUGAUGAGGAGUUGCUUUUUCUCAGCAGUAAGGCUAUAUUCAAGCCUCCAAAAGCUAUACGUGGGGGCAUCCCGAUAUGCUUUCCACAAUUUGGAAGCCAUGGAAAUCUUGAACAGCAUGGGUUUGUAAGGAAUAGGUUUUGGAGUAUUGAUAGGAGCCCUCCUCCUCUUACAGUUAGCUGCAAUAAAGCUUUCGUCGAUUUGAUCUUUAAACCAAGUGAAGAAGAUCUCAAGAUAUGGCCUUAUAGUUAUGAAUUUCGUCUAAGGAUUACCAUAGGACCUGGAGGAGAUCUAAUGCUGACAUCACGGAUAAAAAAUACUGAUGGAAGGCCAUUCUCCUUCACAUUUGCCUACCGCACUUACUUUUCCAUAUCUGAUAUUAGUAAAAUUUUCAGUGAAGUGCGAAUCGAAGGACUGGAGACUCUUGAUUACCUUGACAAUCUAAAAAGCAGGGAACGUUUCACAGAACAAUGUGAUGCUAUUACUUUUGAAUCUGAAGUGGAUAGGAUAUAUCUGGAGACACCAACUAAGAUUGCGAUUCUGGACCACGAAAAAAAGCAGACAUUUGUUUUGCGAAAAGAUGGGCUUCCUGAUGCAGUGGUAUGGAAUCCUUGGGAAAAAAAGGCCAAAUCCAUGAUGGAUUUUGGAGAUGAUGAAUACAAGCAUAUGCUGUGUGUGGAGGCUGCAGCUAUUGAAAAGGCCAUCACUCUAAAGCCUGGUGAGGAAUGGAAAGGAAGGCUGUAUCUAUCUGUUGUUCCAUCCUGUUAUCGUAGUGGGCAACUGGCUCCUUUGAGGGUUCUUCAAGGAUGAAAAUCAUGUCAGAAUCAAAAGUCUUAACAAUUUGACAGCAUCCAUUUCCAGCAGCGGCGGCGCCCAAUCCGAAACUUGGUCCUUCAGGUCUCUCGAAGCACUCAAGUCAAUUCAGAACAGUAGGUACGAUGACAAACUUGUCCAAGUGAGGCUAAUUCAAUUCCUGUUUCCGUUGGCAAAAUUUUGUCCCUCGUCCCAAGCUCUCCCGCUCUCCAACACAAGACAAUGUCAUUUGUCGGAGUGUCGAAGUCACAACCGAUGCUUGCAGCCAAUCAACGAAACGGAGAACUCAGCCGCAAGCGUUCGCACCAACAACGUGCGUAAAUCUCCCCAAGCUCGACAAAUUCUAAAUGCCCAAAAGUACUACAGUCUACAGAGACGUUAAAAUAAUAAUAAAAAGGAGUUUGUGUAGGAAGCGAAAGAGAGAGAGAGAAAGGGGGAAACAGAAGAUAGCCAGUCGAGCGACUCCUUUGGUUCGAUCAAAUCCCAAUUCAACGCCCGGGACGAGAGAGAGCGAGGAGUAUAGCAGAAGCAGCAGCAGCAGCUACCGAAGGACGACGAAUUGAAGGAUUUCCCGUCCGCCGCCGGCGAUGAGCCCCGCAAUCCAAUACAAGCGGCUUGGGCUAUUACUUGGAGCUCCGUGGGGUUCUGCAGGUCAGUGUUUCACCUUUUACACAGAUAUCCUCCCACUAGGGAAGAACUGUGUUGCGUCCUGCUAGAAUGUGUGACAAAGG